UACGUAGGGGGCUAGCGUUGUCCGGAAUCAUUGGGCGUAAAGCGCGUGUAGGCGGUCCGGUAAGUCCGCUGUGAAAGUCGAGGGCUCAACCCUCGAAUGCCGGUGGAUACUGUCGGGCUUGAGUACGGGAGAGGCGAGUGGAAUUCCUGGUGUAGCGGUGAAAUGCGCAGAUAUCAGGAAGAACACCCGUGGCGAAGGCGGCUUUCUGGGACGGUACUGACGCUGAGACGCGAAAGCGUGGGGAGCGAACAGG
rnacentral:rRNA from 1 species